rnacentral:rRNA from 1 species
AGGGUUCGAUUCUGGCUCAGAACGAACGCUGGUGGCGUGUCUUAUACAUGCAAGUCGAGCGAGGCAGCAAUGCCGAGCGGCGAACGGGUGAGUAACGCGUAAGCAAUCUGCCCCAUAUCAGGAAAUACCCGUGCCAACGCGCGGUUAAUGUCCAGGAGAGUGGCCCCCUGCAUGGGGGGUUGACUAGAGAUUUAUCGGUAUGGGAUGAGCUUGCGUCCGAUUAGCUAGUUGGCGGGCAACGGCCCACCAAGGCGACGAUCGGUAGCCGGCCUGAGAGGGUGAUCGGCCACAUUGGGACUGAGAUACGGCCCAGACUCCUACGGGAGGCAGCAGUAGGGAAUAUUGCACAAUGGGGGAAACCCUGAUGCAGCAACGCCAACGUGUGGGAAGAAGCAUUUCGGUGUGUAAACCACUGUCAUGAGGGAAUAAGGCCCGCCUCCGGGCGGGAUUGAACGUACCUUGAGAGGAAGCACCGGCAAACUUCGUGCCAGCAGCGGC